rnacentral:rRNA from 1 species
UACAGAGGUCUCAAGCGUUGUUCGGAUUCAUUGGGCGUAAAGGGUGUGUAGGCGGCGCGGUAAGUCGGGUGUGAAAUCUCGGAGCUUAACUCCGAAACUGCAUUCGAUACUGCCGUGCUUGAGGACUGGAGAGGAGACUGGAAUUUACGGUGUAGCGGUGAAAUGCGUAGAUAUCGUAAGGAAGACCAGUGGCGAAGGCGGGUCUCUGGACAGUUCCUGACGCUGAGGCACGAAGGUCAGGGGAGCAAACGGG